rnacentral:tRNA from 1 species
GCGGGGGUGCCCGAGCAAGGUCAAAGGGGGCGGACUGAGACUCCGCUGGCGUAGGCCUGCGUGGGUUCAAGUCCCACCCCCCGCA